UGUCUAAAUCUUCUCCUCUCUUGUAGAUCUAUUUAAACACAUCAGGCUAUACCUCAUCCUCACCAAAACAAAUCAAGCACACACCCUUAACCGAUUUAACCCCAUAUCCUCUCAAAUGCUCUCAUCUGCAAGUUAUCAAGACAUAUACACACCCCCAUACAUAAAAUUCACCUUCUACAAAACAAACAAACCCACAAUACACACACAUACCCACUAUCGAUCUUUCUCUCCCUCAAAAUCUCCGGCCGGCGACACCGGCGGAGCUCCGACGGAGCCGGCGAAAGGCGUCGGUAGCCAGCGGCGGCUUGCAGUGGUUCACGACAGCAGCGCUGUCGUAAUCGGCGGCGGUUGAUGGUGACGGCUGUGACUCCAAUGGCGGCGGAUGGAAUCUCGGUUCGAUGGGUUUAACGGUAACCCCCCCUUUUUUUGUUCGAUCUGUUAAAAAGGACCACCACCACCACCACUGUGCGGUGGUGGUGAGCGACGGCAGCGGAACAAGAAGAGAGAGAGAGAGAAGAGUCGAAGAGGAGAGAGAGAGAACCGGCGGUGGUGAUGGUGAGCGGCGGUGGCGUCUCGGACCGGCGGUCCCUGUUUCGGACCGGUGGUCCUUGCCUUGGUCCGACGGGUUUUAUCGGUGAAGUUCCUGUUCGAGUCAGGUCAGAAUGGUUUCGGCCCAGGUAAUCUUUGAAAGAUUCGGGUUUUUAUUUUCGGUGCUCCGCUCGGUUAUCAGUUUGGUUCAUAUGUCGUUCUGGUUCGGUUCAGUCAUGGUAUGGUUCAGAUUCAAAGUUUUAUUUGGGUUGUUUCAGGCUUCAGCCGUGGUUCGGGUGACGACUCGGGCUAGAUGGUAGUUAUGGUUCGAAUCGGGUUAUGUUUUUGAGUAGUUUCGGGUUUGGUCAAACCCGGUCAAAAACGGGUCAAAGCUGGUCAACAGAUAGGUUCAGGAUAGAUUCGACUCUGUCAAACCGAGUCAACUCAGCGAGGCAACUCAGCCGAUGAACUGACUCAGUCAACUCAGUCAACGUCUCGACGUGAAAGCUUGGAAUAUCGUAGAAUGCACGCUAGCGAGUCUCGUCUUGGAAAUGACAUCACGAAGUCGUAUUUAGCUAGCUUUGCACAUGGAAAUUCAGGUUACUUUUCAGAAACCAUGACACGGUUGGAAUAGGAGAACCAUUGGAGAUUCGAGUACUUAGUGGGCGUUCAAUUUCUAAAAGACUUAGCUUAUUUGCUUCCGCUGUGCAAUGAAGAUACCAGUCCAGUCACGCCAGCUCUGAUA